AGGCCCAUUGGCCAUCAGGCAAUGUGCCCUCCUCAGGUGAGUGCUUAUUUGGAUUUAGGAAACGAGUGGCCUUGAUGACCCGGUCUAGGUCUAACGUUACAGAACCAGACCCAAUUCAAGGUGAAAGCAUAAUUAAGCUACGGUGUCUAGCCUAUGUUUCCAGACCAGACCUCGCACAACCCAGAUACCCAAGUCGAAAUUUUUUCCUUAGCUCUAUCUUGAUGCUGAAUGUGACUCGAUUCAUUUGCAUCCUCCCGAUGGCUGCACCAAUCUCUGCUUCGAUUCAGUCAGGUCUAUCAUGAAACCACUUCCUCCAAAAAUGUUCAUCCGAAACUCUUCUUUUUUCUUUUGGUGCACAAAUCAAUAUGAGGUGCAGAUUCAGGUCUAGAUCAGGUUAAAUUAUAUCUAGUUUUUGUUUGAUUUCGCAUGACGAAU
rnacentral:lncRNA from 1 species